UUGGAUCAGGCCAGCAUCGAUUGUUUGGAGGAGGUGGUUCUUUCUGGGAAGCAGAGACUUGUAUUUUGGUCCCGGCCACCACAGCUCUGUUGGAUCAAUCUCUUCUUCGUAUCAGUGAUCGUCUCCGGUGAUUGAAGGGUGCAGAGAGGAUGCGAUGUGCUUAUUUUAGAUAUUGGAUUGGGAAGUGCAGAGAAUCAAGCAAGGGUCAAGGAGUUGCUUCAUGUGGAGGAAUCAAAACUAGAGGAGGAUGAGGGUAAGUGUUUUUACUCAUAAUAUUAUUUUAGUUUAUGUUCAGAUCAGUUGGCACUCGAUUCUGUGCUUUAGGAAAUACCACUCCAUCAGUGAGAUGGGUUCGAGAUGAUAAAUAUGAUUGCAUCCGAUUAAAGAAUUGCAAGGUGAGCUAUAUUCACUGUGUAUCCCCCCUUCAGAGUACAUAUGUAUCUGUAUAGUAAUUAAUUUCAAUAUAGGCACAUCAAAUUACCUUAAUUGUUUCUGGACAUAGACUUAAUCCUUUGGAUUACUUUAUUUUAAUUGGUAGAGUAUUUGCCACUACCUUUCUAUUAUUCAUUCUUUUGCUUUGCAGGUUGUGACAAAAAUUGAUUGGCAUCGGAAAGGAGACUAUUUCACUACUGUCGUUCCUAGUGAUAUCCUAAUUAUGAAUUUUAGUUGUACUUAUUUUUAGUCAUUCCUAGUGCCUAUUUUAUAUCUCAGUUUUGUUUCUUUCUUUUUUCUAAUACACACUGACAAAUUGGAAAUAUAUAAAAAUCAUGACAUUAUACCUAGUUACCUAGCCUUUGAGGCUGGAAUCAGGAUGAAACCUAAAGUGCCCUGAAAAGUUUAGGCAUACCAAAUUCUCUCAGUUUAAUGACAGAGGUGUUUUAGAUUGUAAAUUUCAUCCGAGGCAGCCAUGGCUAUUCACAGCUGGAGCAGAUUCUGUCAUUAAACUGUAUUGCCACUAAUGAUAGAUUCUCCAGGAAACUUUGAAGAAUCUCCUCGAGUCAAGAUACGUUGUGAUUGGCACGGCAAGUGUUCUAAAAUGAAGCCAAAGAAAAUGGGGGAGAAAAUAAGGUUCGGCUUGAGGAAUUUAUGCAAUAAAGCAGUUUUAUAUUUGAUUCCUUCUUUAAUUAUAUUGCGUGUGUUCCUAAGCUGCAACCUAUUAAUAAUUUUAGUUUUAUAAUGUUCUUUGCCACUACCUUUCUAUUAUUCAUUCUUUUGCUUUGCAGGUUGUGACAAAAAUUGAUUGGCAUCGGAAAGGAGACUAUUUCACUACUGUCAUUCCUAGUGAUAUCCUAAUUAUGAAUUUUAGUUGUACUUAUUUUUAGUCAUUCCUAGUGCCUAUUUUAUUCCUAGUCACCUUAUUUCAAUGACAAGAACAAGGGUUCUCAUGGCCAAUAUGUGUCUAUUAAUGUGAUUUUCA